GGCAGUCUGGGAGAGUACACGUGGGAACGUACCCUUUGGUUCGGAACAACCCAGUGAAACUUGGGCUAAUACCGGAUAAGCCCUCACGGGGAAAGAUUCAUCGCCGAAGGAUCGGCCCGCGUCUGAUUAGCUAGUUGGUGGGGUAAUGGCCCACCAAGGCGACGAUCAGUAGCUGGUCUGAGAGGAUGAUCAGCCUCACUGGGACUGAGACACGGCCCAGACUCCUACGGGAGGCAGCAGUGGGGAAUAUUGGACAAUGGGCGCAAGCCUGAUCCAGCCAUGCCGCGUGGGUGAUGAAGGCCCUAGGGUUGUAAAGCCCUUUCGGCGGGGAAGAUAAUGACGGUACCCGCAGAAGAAGCCCCGGCUAACUCUGUGCCAGCCGCCGCGG
rnacentral:rRNA from 1 species